GGGGGGAUUUUGAAAUUAGGAGGAGACAACACAAAAGAGAAAAAACCCUAAAAAUGACCUAAGCUUAUCUUCUCCAAGGGGGUCGCCGCCGCCCCCAGCCCUAAUUUUUUUCUUCUCUCCCAGCUGGUUCCACCAGCUGCUCCCCCCUCCGGUUCGUUGGUCCUCCUCCCAGCCAAAAUCAAACCAAACAGCCCCUUUUGAUUUUUUUUCUCUUCUCCCCCAACUGUACAGCCUCUCUCCGCCCCCCUUCCCACGGCUUGAAUUUUUUUUCUCCUAUAGCCCCUGCCAUUUUCGGCUCUCCAGCAUCUCCCCUGCAUAAGCAGCAACAAACCCACAGCUCCCUCUCUUUCAAAACCAAACGGAGCAGCCACUCCCUUCUCCACGCCGUUUCACCAUUUCCUUCCCCUCUCCACAGCUGCCCAACACCACUUCCUCCCUCUCGGCCACGACAGAUUUUCCUUCUCCCAUAGCCCGAUCUUCUCCCCUCAACGGCGCCAUCAUCGUCCCUUUUUUUCAGCCGCUGACCAGCCAUUUCAACCCGUUUUCUUCACCAUCUCCUUCGGCCAAAAGACCCAACCCGAAGAGAUUCACAGCUUCAUCUCCUUCUUCAUCAAUUUUCUUCCCCUCUACACAGCCACUGCCCCAUUCCAGCCGGCGCUCCAUCUCCUCCACCAAGAGCAGCGGCAGCAGCACUCAGCAACAAGGCCAACCACCUCUGCCAACAACAGGAGCAAACACCACCGACGCGCCACCAGCCUCGACAGCUUCUCCUCCAACAGCAGCAACCCACAGACCCAGCCGUUCCUCAGCUCCACCACCAGAUCUGUCGUCGGCAGAAGGAGCAGCCACUAGGAGGAAGCCGAUUACAGACCCAAAGUUGAAGAGAACUGACCGGAGGAAACAGAUCUAAAAACAGAACAAAAUAAAAUUGGAUUGUUGUUGCGUUUUGUGUUUCUUUUUGCAGGUGACAGUGAUUGGCACCACCGGCAGAGAAGAGGAGCAGAAGCUGAGCCGAACCCACCAUUUUUCUGGCAAAUCGCGGCGGCGCGCUGUCAGUGACGGUGGCGCGUUGCUCCACGCGCCGCCACUGUUCCAGCACUGUUGCUGCGAUUCCAGAAGUGUUCCUCCGCAAAUUCCUGGAGUUUUGGGGGACUAUUUUGUAAAUUUGGAUUAUUUAAUAUAAUUUUUAUUUAGUUUUGAAUUUUUGUAAUUUGUAUUGUGGAUGUAAAAAACAAAAAAGGAAAAGGAAAGGAAAAGAAAAAGAAAAUAUAGUGAAAGUGUAUGGGUGUGUUUGUAUUUGUUUUAUGGAUGUUUUAUUUUUAUUUAAGAUAAAAUUGUAAAGAUUAAAGAAGAAUUUAAUAUUUUGAUUGGAUCACGGUCAAGAAUUAUUAACUUACAUGUAAGUUGUAUUUCUAAUAUCCGAUGAAAAGACAAUUAUUAAAACUUCUUUAACACAUCAAAGUCACGAAGCAGCUUACCUCAGGUAGGGUGCGUUAGGGGUGCUAAUACCUUCCCUAACCACAACCAGUCCCUUACUCGCGAAUCUCUGACAAGACCAGUACAUCCGGGUUUCCUAGUAACCCUCAAUUAAAUACUAGGUGGUGACUCCAACGAAUCAAUCAAAUCAAACGAACAUAAAGAUACAAUCGCCAGUCGAUGCCGCGCGGAUUGAUUUUUGACGUGCGACAAUUAAUAAAAUAUAUAUUUGAUAUUGUGGUAGGUUUUGUUUUUUUUCAUUGACUUGCUGCACAUAACUCGCAUAGACUUGAUCUCAACAAAAAUGUUAAUUUCGGAAAUUAAUUAAUAUUGCCGUGAUUCCAACACCGUUGUUUAGUCAUCAAGUAAUUAAGGGAGCAGAUAUUGCCUUGCGAGGAAAUAUUCGCAAUUGAAUAAUUCAACCCUCAGUUCCAUAUUCAGCACCACAUGAAGAUCAGACAAUAUCCAAGUUCCGAUCGACGACUUGGAGGUAACGGACAGAUCACAAAAUGAAGUGUUGAAGACCAAUCCCACAUUUCAUCCAAGUUCCGAUCUUGUUAUAAAUAUUUCAUAAUUAAUUAAAUAUUUCAUAUUUCCUAAAUAUUUAUUUUUUUAUAUUUUUAGUAUACUAAUGUUAAAAAAAAAAAUUAAUAUUAAAUAUAUUUUUAAUUAAAAAACACCUUAAUUGUUACACACAAGGAGUACUUUUGGGCCAGGAGAAACGAGAUAUUAGCGCCCCCAUUGCUUUGCGUAAUUAUUACUUUGCCAAGAAACAACAAUUCAGUUUGCACAAUUUGAAGUCAACAAGGAAUAUAUAUCUUGUUUAAUAUACUUUGCCGCGUUUCCAACACUCACUCUCUCUCAUGUACGUACUUGAGAUUUGAUUUCGUCUUUACAUGUUUUACACAUCCUAUGUCAGUCAGUAUACAAUCUAAGAUUACUUUGUCUAUAAAUAAUGUCUUUCUUCAUUCCUCAUCUCUCCCAAAUAUACUACGAACCCUGUAAGGCCAGCCAAACAUGGGGUUUUCACCUAUUUCAUCUCUCUCUUUCUUUCUGUUUCUCUUCCACUUCCAUUCAACAAUUUCUUCAUCUCAUUUCUGUGCUCAUGACCAAAGUCUUUCUUUGCUCCAAUUCAAAGAGUCCUUUUCCAUUCGUAGCUCUGCUUCAGAUCGUUGCCAGCAUCCCAAGACAGAGUCGUGGAAAGAGGGCACAGACUGCUGCUCGUGGGAUGGGGUCACUUGUGACAUGAAAACUGGGCAUGUCACUGGACUGGACCUUGCUUGCAGCAUGCUUUACGGCACCCUCCAUCCCAAUAGCACCCUCUUCUCCC
rnacentral:lncRNA from 1 species